AGAAAUCUUGUGUGAUUCUGCGUCCACCAAGAUGAAUUUGUGGCUUCGGGUUGCGGAAUUGGUAGUCCCUCGUCAACUGAUUCGGUUAAUAGCAAAACAACAAAUCCUUGUGACAAGGUGAAAGAACAAAAUUUCCUCCACCGCAUGAAGACAGAUUUGGAGAUUCGUCGUCAAAUUAAUAAAGUGCUUGAGGGAUGUCCCCAUGUCGAUAUCUUUAUCGAGUGUAAAUAAACCGUAGAGGAUGAAAUUGAGAUGGAGUUCUGUCAGUUGAGACAGAAUUUUUUCAAGUGGAAGACAGUCGCAUCGAUGAGCAUAAUCGCCAUUGUAUUAACGGAAGUGGAAGACAGUCGCAUCGAUGAGCAUAAUCGCCGUUCAUAGGGGAGCGAUACUUUUGGAGACACAAUUUGAAUUUGAGUGUUAACUAGGUUUUCCUAUUUUGGAGUUUGAUUGAAGAGUUUCUGAGUUUAAUUGCUCUUUGUAUUACUUUUCAUGAUGCUUCUUGUGGAUGACACUAUGUAUAUGUUUGAUUUGGAGGAAUAAUAGACAGAAAAUGAUGGUUUAAUUGUUGGAGUCA